AUGCAUCUGCAGAAAGUUCAUAAGUUGAGCCGCAUCUUGAUCUUCCUGGAUUUCAACUUGUUCUCCGGGUGCUUCGAAAUCAUGGGUUUGGGCUACAUCAUCACCCUCAUCCUCCACAAUCAUAUUGCACAUAAUAACACAACAUGUCAUCAACCGCCACAAAGUUUUCGAUUCCCAUAUCAUUGCAGCGCUCCGCACAAUUUCCCAACGAGCCUGAAGCACACCAAAUGCCCUCUCCACAUCCUUCCUAGCCGCUUCUUGCAUUGUUGCAAAGUGGCUCUGUUUAUUGUCAUGCGGCUCGGAUAUGGUCUUCACAAACACCGCCCACUGAGGAUAGAUAUCAUCGGAAAGAUAGUAUACCAUGUUCUAGUCCCGGUCGUUGACGAUGAAGUUGCACGAUGGUGA
rnacentral:rRNA from 1 species